rnacentral:sRNA from 1 species
GGAAGUAAAAGUCGUAACAAGGUUUCCGUAGGUGAACCUGCGGAAGGAUCAUUAAUGUGUUUCGGAGCCUGGCACGCCCAUCUCUACUUGGGAUGGGUGUGGCAGCGCCCCCACACGUGUUUACUGAACUUUGUUGCCUUGGUAGGCCUGCCGUUCUGGCUGCCAGGGGCGCCUAACCGUCAUUUAUGCAAAUUAUACAAAACUUUCAACAACGGAUCUCUUGGUUCUGGCAUCGAUGAAGAACGCAGCGAAAUGCGAUAAGUAAUGUGAAUUGCAGAAUUCCGUGAAUCAUCGAAUCUUUGAACGCACAUUGCGCCCUCUGGUAUUCCGGGGGGCAUGCCUGUUCGAGCGUCAUUGCAAACCCCUCAAGCACGGCUUGUGUGUUGGGCCACCGUCCCUCUUGUGGACGGGCCUGAAAUGCAGUGGCAGCACCGAGUUUUGGUGUCUCAGUGUAUGGGAAUCUCUAUCACUUCAAGACCCAAUCAGUGUUGAUCAUCAGAUUUUUUCUAGUUUGACCUCGGAUCAGGUAGGAGUACCCGCUGAACUUAAGCAUAUCAAUAAGCGGAGGA